rnacentral:rRNA from 1 species
UCCCACCUCUUCCCAUCCCGAACAGAGAAGUUAAGCCCUGCAGCGCCGAUGGUACUGGGGUUACACCCGGGAGAGUAGGUCGCCGCCACAU